GUCCCAGUCACAGGUCACACGCAGCUGGGUUGGUCAAGAGCCCACUUCCCACACCCAGACACAGACACUGUCCGCACAAAGGCCCCACCCGCCGAUGCUGGGUCUCGCACACACUCUUCUGAGUGGCCAGUCUAGACUCCUGGCCUCCUCUUGUUUCCUUUUGGAAAACCUUCAGCUUUUCCAUUUUAAUCAGGCCAUGAGACAACAGUCUAUUUCUGUCACUUCUGAGUGUUGGCCAAAGAUUGUUCUUUUGAAAUACCCACAGCCUCACUUCGUCGUAGUCCCAGCUGUCUGGAAUUCACUGACAUUUGUCUCCUGAGCCCUGGGAUCACAGGUGUACAUCGCCUGGUCUGUUUUUAUAUGGUGUUUGGCAUCAAACCCAGGAAUCUAUGCAUGUAAAACAAGAACUCUGCUAAUUGAGCAUGCUUACACCCUGAGACUGCUCCCUUCUGGAACUUCCACUGAGAGGAGCCAAGGCCUCCUAACUGAGCACUGAGAACGGGCAACACUUUAUUCCACACCAUAGAGUAAGUGUAACAAUGGGCUGAGCAGAAGAGGCAGAUAUAGGUAGAAAAGGCCGAAGACAGCAGAACCCAAAUACAGAAGGCCACUUUGAAGUUAUGUUGGUGGGGCAGCAGCUGCCGGGAGACGGAACCGUAGAAAAUUAACACUCGCUUGACCCCCGGCUGCUUCAGUCUCCAGGAUUUGAAGCUGCCCUCAUGCAGGCCAGAUAAAUUCUCGACGACUGAGCUACACCUGGGGGUCCGAGUUCUUACUGUUUUAUUUCAUAUGUGUGGUUGCUUUGCCCACAUGUGGGUAUGGGUGCCACAUGGCACCUGACACCGGGAGAACAGAAGGGAGCAUCAGGUCCCCUGGAACCGCAGUGACGGAUGGCCGUGACCCAUCGUGUGGGUGCUGGGAAUCAAACCCGGGACUCUGCUCGAGGAAAAGUGCUCUAAACGGUCGUGCCGUCGCUCCAGUCCCCGAAUUCUUUUAUCUUGAAAUAGAGGACAGCACAGGGAUGUUGGCAUGAGUGACUCCAUUAUGGGGUUUUUGUUUGUUUUGUUUUGAGACAGGGUCUCUCUGCAUAGCUCUAGGUGUCCUGGAAUUCUCUCUGUAGA